AGAGUUUGAUCCUGGCUCAGGAUGAAUGCUGGCGGCGUGUCUAAGGCAUGCAAGUCGAACGCCUUGUAGCAAUACAGGGAGUGGCAAACGGGAGCGUAACACAUUGGCAACUUACCCCGAAGUCGCGAAUAAUUCGCCGAAAGGCGGACUAAUACGCGAUGGAAGCGAGGGGACACAAGUCAUUCUCGCUUAAAGAUUUAUCGCUUCGGGAGAGGCCUAUGCCCUAUCAGCUAGUUGGUGAGGUAACUGCUCACCAAGGCUACGACGGGUACCGGGUGUGAGAGCAUGACCCGGCUCACUGGGACUGAGACACUGCCCAGACUCCUACGGGAGGCUGCAGUCAAGAAUAUUCCUCAAUGGCCGAAAGGCUGAAGGAGCGACGCCGCGUGUAUGAAGACGCCCCUCGGGGUGUAAAAUACUUUUUUCCGGGACGAAUCAAUGACGGUACCGGAAGAAUAAGGGGCUGCUAACCUCGUGCCAGCAGCAGCGGUAAUACGAGGGCCCCAAGCAUUAUCCGGAUUUAUUGGGCGUAAAGGGUACGUAGGCGGUUUAUAGCAUCUCCUGUUAAAUCACGAGGCUUAACCUCGUGGCCGCAGGAGAGAUGGGUAAACUAGAGACCGGGAGAGGUAAGCGGAAUUGCUGGUGUAGGGGUUAAAUCCGUUAAUAUCAGCAGGAACACCAAAUGCGAAGGCAGCUUACUAGAACGGUUCUGACGCUGAGGUACGAAAGCGUGGGGAGCGAAUGGGAUUAGAUACCCCAGUAGUCCACGCCGUAAACGAUGGAUGCUAAGCAUUGGAAGUGUCGACCCUUUCAGUGCUGUCUACCUAAGUUAACACCUUAAGCAUCCCGCCUGGGGAGUACGAGCGCAAGCUUAAAACUCAAAAGGAAUUGACGG
rnacentral:rRNA from 1 species